rnacentral:rRNA from 1 species
UACGGAGGGGGCGAGCGUUGUCCGAAGUUACUGGGCGUAAAGCGCGCGUAGGCGGGUGGGUAAGUCCGCUGUGAAAGCCCGGAGCUCAACUCCGGAGGGUCGGUGGAUACUGCCCAUCUUGAAGGUGCUAGGGGGAGAUGGAAUUACCGGUGUAACGGUGAAAUGCGUAGAGAUCGGUAGGAACACCAGUGGCGAAGGCGGUCUCCUGGAGCAUACUUGACGCUGAGGCGCGAAAGCUGGGGGAGCGAACGGG